rnacentral:rRNA from 1 species
GAUGAACGCUAGCGGCAGGCUUAAUACAUGCAAGUCGUGGGGCAGCGCAGUGUAGCAAUACAUGGGCGGCGACCGGCAAACGGGUACGUAACACGUACGCAACCUUCCCGUUACUGGGGAAUAGCCCAGGGAAACUUGGAUUAAUACCCCAUAUUAUAUUGAUUGGGCAUCUAAUUAAUAUCAAAGCUUCGGCGGUAACGGAUGGGCGUGCGGUUGAUUAGGUAGUUGGCGGGGUAACGGCCCACCAAGCCUACGAUCAAUAGCUGAUGUGAGGGCAUGAUCAGCCACACGGGCACUGCGACACGGGCCCGACUCCUACGGGAGGCAGCAGUAAGGAAUAUCGGGCAAUGGACGAAAGUCUGACCCAGCCAUGCCGCAUGGAGGAUGAAGGUCCUCUGGAUUGUAAACUUCUUUUUUCUGGGGCGAAAACCGGUUUUUCUAAACCAUUUGACAGUACCAGAAGAAUAAGCACCGGCUAACUCCGUGCCAGCCGCCGCCGUAAAAC